rnacentral:misc_RNA from 1 species
GAUGAAGAACGUAGCGAAAUGCGAUACGUAAUGUGAAUUGCAGAUUUCAGUGAAUCAUCGAAUCUUUGAACGCACAUUGCGCCCGCUAGUAUUCUGGCGGGCAUGCCUGUUCGAGCGUCAUUUCAACCAUCAAGCCCUAGGCUUGCGUUGGAGCCCUGCGGCUGCCGCAGGCUCCCAAACCCAGUGGCGGGCUCGUCGUCGUACCGAGUGCAGUAAACAUCCUCGCUCAGGGAACGUGACGGGUUCUUGCCGUGAAACCCCCCACAUAUCAAGGUUGACCUCGGAUCAGGUAGGAAUACCCGCUGAACUUAAGCAUAUCAAUAAGCGGAGGA